UACGGGGGGGGGCAAGCGUUGUUCGGAAUUACUGGGCGUAAAGGGCUCGUAGGCGGCCAACUAAGUCAGACGUGAAAUCCCUCGGCUUAACCGGGGAACUGCGUCUGAUACUGGAUGGCUUGAGUUCGGGAGAGGGAUGUGGAAUUCCAGGUGUAGCGGUGAAAUGCGUAGAUAUCUGGAGGAACACCGGUGGCGAAGGCGGCGAUCCUGGACCGACACUGACGCUGAUGAGCGAAAGCCAGGGGAGCAAACGGGG
rnacentral:rRNA from 1 species